rnacentral:rRNA from 1 species
UAGAGGAAGUAAAAGUCGUAACAAGGUCUCCGUUGGUGAACCAGCGGAGGGAUCAUUACUGAGUUACCGCUCUAUAACCCUUUGUGAACAUACCUACAACUGUUGCUUCGGCGGGUAGGCCGUCCCCUGAAAAGGACGCCUCCCGGCCCGGACCGGACCCCCCGCGGGACCGGACCCGGCGCCCGCCGGAGGAUAACCAAACUCUAUUGUAACGACGUUUCUUCUGAGUGGCAUAAGCAAAAUAAUCAAAACUUUUAACAACGGAUCUCUUGGUUCUGGCAUCGAUGAAGAACGCAGCGAAAUGCGAUAAGUAAUGUGAAUUGCAGAAUUCAGUGAAUCAUCGAAUCUUUGAACGCACAUUGCGCCCGCCAGCAUUCUGGCGGGCAUGCCUGUUCGAGCGUCAUUUCAACCCUCAAGCUCUGCUUGGUGUUGGGGCUCUACGGUCGACGUAGGCCCUCAAAGGUAGUGGCGGACCCUCCCGGAGCCUCCUUUGCGUAGUAACAUUUCGUCUCGCACUGGGAUCCGGAGGGACUCUUGCCGUAAAACCCCCCAAUUUUCCAAAGGUUGACCUCGGAUCAGG